rnacentral:misc_RNA from 1 species
CUCCGGUUUUCCCCGUAGGGGCACAUGGUACAACCACCAUCCUAUAUCUCUGUGAGAUCAGAGAUGCUUCUCUGCUGUUACCUCCGCGUCGCGCUGGAGUUUGUGCACACGCUGGAGGCGCAUCCACAUCGGCAGCCUGCAGCCGCGCCGCGCCAGAAGUCGCGCCGCGCUAAUGUCACGCCCGUGCCGGAGAAGCUUGCCAGCGCGUGGCCACGGUGGAGUCUGCGCGUCCGCGAGAGAAAGCGAUCAGCGCAAACGUGGUCUGGAAUAGAGCUCGAGCUGCGACUCGCUCACCUGAGCCCAGGCGGCGGCAGCCAGCAAAUCCGUUACUCGUUGCU